rnacentral:rRNA from 1 species
UAAUACGAAGGGUGCAAGCGUUAUUCGGAUUUAUUGGGUGUAAAGGGUGUGUAGACGGUAUGUUAAGUCCGCUGUUAAAUUUCCCGGCCUAACUGGGAGCCAGCGGUGGAUACUGACGUGCUAGAGGAUGGAAGAGAGAAGUGGAAUUCCCGGAGUAGCGGUAAAAUGCGUAGAUCUCGGGAGGAACACCAAUGGCGAAGGCAGCUUCUUGGUCCAUAUCUGACGUUGAGACACGAAAGCGUGGGGAGCAAACAGGAUUAGAUACCCUGGUAGUCCACGCCGUAAACGAUAAUCACUAGAUGUUGGUUUGACUUAGUCGGAUCAGUAUCGUAGCUAACGCGUUAAGUGAUUCACCUGGGGAUUACGGUCGCAAGACUA